rnacentral:rRNA from 1 species
GAUGAACGCUGGCGGCGUGCCUAAUACAUGCAAGUCGAGCGAACAGAUGAGGAGCUUGCUCCUCUGACGUUAGCGGCGGACGGGGGAGUAACACGUGGAUAACCUACCUAUAAGACUGGGAUAACUUCGGGAAACCGGAGCUAAUACCGGAUAAUAUAUUGAACCGCAUGGUUCAAUAGUGAAAGACGGUUUUGCUGUCACUUAUAGAUGGAUCCGCGCCGCAUUAGCUAGUUGGUAAGGUAACGGCUUACCAAGGCAACGAUGCGUAGCCGACCUGAGAGGGUGAUCGGCCACACUGGAACUGCGACACGGUCCAGACUCCUACGAGAGGCAGCAGUAGGGAAUCUUACGCAAUGGGCGAAAGCCUGACGGAGCAACGACGCGUGAGUAAUGAAGGUCUUCGGAUCGUAAAACUCUGUUAUUAGGGAAGAACAAAUGUGUAAGUAACUAUGCACGUCUUGACGGUACCUAAUCAGAAAGCCACGGCUAACUACGUG